UGGGGGCCGGGUACAGGUAAGAGGUCAAGGGCCCCCAAGCACCCCGAGGCCCAGAAGAUGCAUUCAUGCAGGCUGGGGCAACUGGGACAGAGCACAAGCCAGGUCGUCUCCCCUGGAAACUCCAGCCUUGGAAGGAGGGUGGAGAAGAGGAAGAGAUCUUCCAUCCACUGGUUCACUUUUCAAAUGACUGCUACAGCUUGGGCUGGGCCAGGUAUUCCAUCUGGGCCUCCUAUGUGGAUGGUAGGGCCCCCAGGCACUUGGGUCAUCGUCCCCUGCUUUCCCAGGUGCACACACAGGAAGCUGGAUUGGAAGUGGAGCAGCCGGACUCAAACUGACACUCCAGUAUGGGAUGCCAGUAUUGCAGACCUUCAGGGAUGCUCCUGCUCAGCGUCUUCCUGUGGAGCCCCUCUGAUGCCCGUCACGUCCCAGCUCCUCCUACAGCACGCUGCGUGGGACACACUCUGACUACGUGGACUGAACCCCAUCAGGACCAGGGCUGACGUCUGCUGUUGUAUCACCAGCAUUGGUCGGGGAAUAGAUGGAGGACCCACGUGGACACAGCAGAUGGGAACACAAGAGGAGGUGAGACGUUGACAGCUCUCGGCCCCCUUGGAACCUGGCCCACCUCUUACCAAGACCCUCACGGUGAGGUCGGAAGGGCUGCACCACCUGCCCCUUGGCUGCUUCUCCAGUGCGGUAAUCUGUAGUUUGGGAUACUCAAAGUGUGGGCUGAGGGACAUAGGCAGUGGUUUGAAGAGAGCCUACCUACCCACGCUCCCACAGACGCCCCCAGUAGCUGCUGCUGAACGAAGUGCUUGGCUGGAGUCCCUGUACCCAGCCCCCUUCUUGGGAACUGGCUGACCCAGGAGCAAGAUGAGGUGCAGGGGGAGAGCUGCACGGGCCCUUCCUUCACUCAGACCCUGCUGUGUCCUUGCUGUCUGCUGGGCUGGAAGUGGGUAUGGCACAACCUUGUGCCCGGGAAUAUUUGUGGUGAGGAGAGUCAGCCACAGCAGCAGGGGGCGCUAUAGCCAUGGCCAGCUGGGGCUUGACGGAGCCCUUGGCAGUCAGGGCCUGAGGGGAGGGAGAGGACUGCUUAGUUAUGAGAGCCCGGGCCCCUGGGGCUUCCAGGAACAGGAGGGGUGGUCAGGGGGCAGCUUGAGCAGACCUCCUUGGCUGUGGGAUAGUGGGAUGGUUCUGUGGUACUAAAGUGAGAGGAAGUUCACGGCCAAGCUUGUUAACGAGAGGACAUGAGCAACCUUAAAACGAUACUGGGAAGCAGAAACUGAGCCGGGAAUACACCGGGGACAGGAUAUACUCCCUAGGGGGUGGCGGUGGGCAGGAUCUGGGAAGCCAUGUCCUGGGAAGAAAGCACAUAGAUGUGUGAAAAACGGAAAAAACGAGUGGCUGGGGACUUCGCUGGUCGCUGACCACAAGCUACACCCAGCCUGCCUGCUGGUUGCACGCUCCUCCCUCUGGCCCGGCCAUGCCCACAGGCACUGACAGCACUGCUGUUCUUGCCAACAAAUUCCCGUCGCUGCUGUGCACUGAGAAACUAAAAGAGCGGGUUUUACGAAAAAAGAAAACAGAGGCUUGGCAUCGGCAAGCAAGGGCCUCCUCGCUGCUUCUGUCUGUCCUCGAAUGGAGGAGGCGGCUGGCACCCCCGUCUGUGGCCUCCUGGACCCCUGCCCCUCACCCCUGGGCUGGAACUGCAUCCAGCCGUGGGCCUGUUCUCCACUGCAAAUUAAAAUCCUGGUGCAAACUUG